rnacentral:lncRNA from 1 species
CAUGCCUGGGAGCCACUGGCCAGGGCCUGGCCAAACUGGGGAGUCCAACUCGGGAGGCCCAGGUGGGGCCUGGGAUCCAGCUCCCGGGUGGUGCUGCCGGCUGGGGACCACACUGAGAAGCCACACCUGGGACACCACCCAGUUCCCCUUUGCCUGGUCCAAAGGAGGAAUUUGGAGGACUCUGAGAAGGGCUUAUCUAACAGAGGAUCCUGAGUGGGAACUUCUGGGGCCUCUUGAGGGAAGAUGGUCAUGGCGGGUGGGGUCAUCGUGGGUUUCACAUCCUCAUCCAUCUUGGAGAAAGAUGCAUAUCUUAAUGGAGGUUGAGACUCUUUACAAAAGAAGCGCAAAUAACUGGAGUCGGCUUCCCCUGACCCAGGGUUAGAGCUCAGUCUCCCCUUCUCUUGCUCCCUGCAACCUUAAAAAAUGGGUGGUGGCAACCACUUUCUUCCUGUGAGGACAGGUGACUGAGAGUCAUCGCCCCCCAUCUUCCUGGUAACCUGUUGCCCCUGUCUCAUGAGUAAACAUCACGUCAACCCCAACAGAAGGGCCUCCUGCAAAAUCCCUGACCAAGGGACAUCACUAAGUACCAUGUGGGGUGGUUGUGGUCUGGAUCUGGCUUGGUUCCCCAGGGGAACUGUAGGAGGUAGAACCAGGCUAGAGGUCGUGGGCCUUGGGAGAAUGCCUUGGGGGACUGUAUCUUGUCCCUGCCCCUCUCUGCUUGCUGGCUGCCAUGAGCUAAGCAGCUCUGCUCUACCUGCUCUGCCAGGAUGAUCUGCCUCACCACGAACCCGCAGCCAUGAGCCAGUGGACUGUGGACAAAAACCUCAAACUGUGAGCCCAAACAUUUUUCCUCUAAGCUUUUUUUCUCAGGUGUUUUGUCAUAGCAAUGAAAAGCUGACACAGGAGUCCUGGAAGAGACCUUACAGAAAGGACAGAACACAGGUGUAAAAAGUGGCGCGUCCAACUGAAGACUGCCGUUAAUGGGAACGUACCGUGGUUGGUCAUGGUUUUGGUGACAGUUCCGUGAAAGAUGUUAACGUUAGGGGUGAGGGCUAUUGAGGACUCUGAAUUGUCUGUAAAUCUAAAAUAAUUCCCAAAUAAAAAGGAUACUAAGUAA